GAUACUUACGUGAGUGUAUGCAAUGUAUGAAGAUAGCAUUCUGUAUGAACAGGUGUGUGUGUGUAAAUCAUGCCAUAUUUACUAAGUAAUUACUCAAGUUCCUCUUCUAAAAGCCCUUCACUUUCUUGGCAGAAGACCGGUCUGCUAUAGAGGAGGGAAGUGAGUGCAGAGAUGGUAAGGAAAGGAAACAAUACACAACUCCCCCUCUGUGUUUGUGUGUUCGUAUGCUUCCCUGCUUCCUGUCAAUCACCUGGUUAACGUGCAUGUCUGUCAGUCUCAGUCACGGCACGGUGUGUCGGUGACCUGAGUGUCCGUCACGGUGGACUGACAAACGGAGACUACUGAAUCCUGGGAUUGCUCUGGCGAAGGCCUUCAUAGUCUGACUGUAGCAGUACAGACCAUUGUAGAUGGCAGUCAGUAAUGGAAAAGAUCCUGCAGGCCUAUUUGAUGGGUUUAUGGAUACUGUAUCAUUUAUGUAGAGAUCUUUAGGAAUCAUCUGUUGAGGAGUUAGACCCAGAGAAUCAGCCUGACAGAUAGUUGUUGUGAUAUCAGCGCCGACUGAUACUAAUUACUAGAGAUCAGCGGUGAGUUUCCCAAAAACAUAAAGAUCAUAUUGGCAAAAUGGCAUAAAAUCAUAAUUUCUCUAUUGCUUAUGAAUGGACUUAAGAUGAUCUUUAGUGCUUAAUAUGAUAUUCAUGUUUUGGGGAAAACCCUGAUCUGUUGAGAUUAGGCAUUACAUGAUACAGUAUCAUGGUUUCGCCAAAGCAUCCAAGUGAAGGAAUUGUAUUAAACAUCAAAUGACCUUGACUUGAAAUUGAUGCAGAGUGAAAAUGUAAUCUAAAUUACAAAUGACCAAAUGAUAUAUACUGUAUAUAUUUACUCUGGGUAUAUAUCGUGACCUGUGUGUAUGUGUGCACUUACUAAGGUAAUGGUUUAAUAGAAGGAUAAGUUGAUGAUAAGUUUUGCUGUUUUGUUGCGUUAGUUCAAAUACUGUUCCUGCACAAUACCAUAUCCCUUAUCAUUAAUCACUGUAUUACAAAAGAUGUUGAUAUGAAAUAUCAAGGUAUUAUCUGUUCCUGAAGUGUUACAGUAAUAAUGAAUUAAGUGAUAUUUACCUACAGUAAUAUUUCCCAUAAUACGCAUUAUCCCCCAAAAU
rnacentral:lncRNA from 1 species